ensembl:lncRNA
CUCUCUCUCCCUCAGGCUGGAAUUGUAUGAUUGUGAAGACAUCGCGAACCUUAAAGGUUGAGAAGUGAACGGAUUAUACGGCGAACUGAGACGACGUGAAAAAGGGGAUUGGAAGCGGCAUUGAUGUGAGUACUAAGAGCCAGUCGAAAGUGCCCUGUAUAUUGACCUGGCGUUGUGUAGAUCUCUCCAGGAGGAGGAGGGCGGCCCUACCCCUAAUAUAGCGUGGUGGGAGAGCCGAAGGAAUACUUAUUGAAGUAGUCACAACGACGACAUCACUAGCUAGGCCGCAUAUUCCAUCGCCAGAUCCGAACCAAGCGAAGUGAAGGAAGACGGGUGUCCUUUUCGUACACUGAGUGUGGUGGGUGAGUCUUCGUGCUGUGAAAACCUAUAAUUUUGACGUGGUGUUGUAUAUUGCUGUGGGCUGCUGUGUAUUGCCGUGUGUCCUGUCAGAUAAACCCCCGCCUUCACGCACUUCGUCGCGGGAGGACAAGGAGACUGCUGGUCCUAGCCUAGUUCAGUACAGUAUAUGUUGUGAGCGUGCUUCAGAUCUCCGGAGAUAGCACAGUACGCUGUGUCCAGCCCAGAGGUGAAAGCCAUCCAAAGCAGAGUAACUGUGCUUUGCGUCCAAGUUGAUACCUGUGGAGAGGAAAGGAAAGAGAGAUUGAUACCUGUGGAGAGAAAAGGAGAGAGAGUGAAUAACACGAGGAGGAAUAGAGCGAACCCUGUACUUACAGUACGCUGUGUCCAGCCCAGAGGUGAAAGCCAUCCAAAGCAGAGUAACUGUGCUUUGCGUCCAAGUUGAUACCUGUGGAGAGGAAAGGAAAGAGAGAUUGAUACCUGUGGAGAGAAAAGGAGAGAGAGUGGGUAACACGAGGAGAGACCGAGGAAACCUGUACUUACGCCGCUGCCUGUGGAGAAAGAGAAAGCGACCGUUGCCUGUGGAGGAAGAGAAAGAGAGUGAGCACCCCGAGAACGAACUGUGUGAACCAGUACUUACCGUGAGCUGUAUUCAGCGAAGAGGAGGAAGAAGGAGGGCGCUACGGAUACCUAAGACUCAGGCCGGGGCCCGAGUCCCACGCCCCGGAUCCCCGUGGCCCCCUUGCUCCCUGACCUCUUCCCGGCCAUAGCCCAUCUGGAGGGCCGAGUCAGAGUUUAGUUUUAAUUGCCCUUUCCCUAUUCCCCAAGCUAUUUUUAAAUAUUUAAAUAAAGAUUGUUUUAUCACUUACUUGUUCUCGUGU